CGGUCCAGACUCCUACGGGAGGCAGCAGUGGGGAAUAUUGCACAAUGGGCGAAAGCCUGAUGCAGCGACGCCGCGUGAGGGAUGACGGCCUUCGGGUUGUAAACCUCUUUCAGUAGGGAAGGAAGCGAAAGUGACGGUACCUAGCAGAAGAAGCGCCGGCUAACUACGUGCCAGCAGCCGCGGUAA
rnacentral:rRNA from 1 species